AUACAUUCUAAUUGAGCCCACUCCCGACCUCUGCAAGAAAUGCACACAGCCACAAAACAUGACCUAUCUAGACCCCCAUUGCCUUCUUCAUGCUCUUAAUUUCUGUAACAUACUGUUCACCUGUCUGGCUAUCUGGGAUUUUUCAAGGUGUACACCUACGGUCAUUUUGAUGGAAGGUGAAGGGGAAUUACCUCAACUGAACAGAGGAUGCUGGUUAUACAGAACUACUAACAUCGUAAGAACAUUCUAUGAUUCUGAUGCAGACAUACAGUACAGUUUUAAUCUAAUCAAGGAGGACGCCAUAUGUGGGACACCGCAGCGAAGUGUAAGGAGUCCUAGAACAUCUACCUUAGGAGUUAAGAGAAUCUAUGAGAUUGUAUGUAUAAACAUCAGGUAGCUUGGCAAAAUGGCAGGUCAGACGGAUCAAGCUGCUCCCAGGUAUUGUGUUCUAUAUAUCAUUUUCUUCUUGUGAUAAUGUUGUAUUGAAAUGCUCCAUCAAGGAGCGCCUUUAUAAUUCCUACGUGUAGGUUAAUCUUAUGCAGUAUUAUUGAUUCUAUUGUGUCCCAAAAAAUACUAUCUAUUCAACUUGCUGGUUCUACCGUAUCUUUGUGGGGACAUAGUGAAAUGGUUGUGAUCUGCUCCGGAAGGUAGGAAUUCCUUCCAAAGUAUUUAUAAAUGACUAGGAAUAAUUAUUUGAAAAACUUCUAUUUCAGUAGAAAGCACACGAUAAAGCAAGAUUCCAUUCACAUGAGCAUGACAAAAAUUAGCAUGAAUCUUACCUGAUUGAUUUGCAGUUUCUUUGUACACCAUGUUGAAGCCGUUGGCUUCAGCUACUGUUUCGACUAGAGAUUGUCCUUAGCUGCUGAACAGUAACAUUAGUGUAAAUCAGCUUACAACUUAGCACGGGGGACUGCCUUGCUAGUAGUUUCCAUUAGGUUAUAUACUUAGAUGUCGUACUUGGAUUAGUACAGUCAUUAAGUGCUUAAGUGCGUGUAAAGUAUGCGCCCUCUAAUGCUCGAUUACUUGGCUAACUUUUCUGGCUCGACGCGUGUAAAGACAGUAUCGUAUGAUUCGGAUCCAACCUUGAGGCUCAGAUCAAUGACAGAUCGGCACCGGUGUACCAAUCUGAAUCUGUGUUGUGGUGGAUGAUCAAACGAUCGAGUAUAAAUAUUCCGUUAUCUAAUGUGAUAGCUCUGCUUUCAUUCGCUACA